GACUUCCCUUAUCCUCUCAUUAGCCUUGGGAUGGAGGCUGGACGGGCCUCCAUUUUACAGGAUAGUGACCAAGGGGCCAGGUCAGGCUCCUGACUUUGGACAUGCUGCUUUCCCGAAGAUGCACUCAUCAGAGAGGAGCCGGGUCCCUCUCACAGGAACUUCUCCCUCACCCAUCUGCCAGGACCUUAGCAGAUCCGCCCGGAGCCAGUUGGGUGAUCCAGAAGAGAAAGGGUGAAAAGGCAGAGCCAGAGAAACAUCAAAAGGUAAAUGUCACCACAUC